UACGAAGAGGGCUAGCGUUGCUCGGAAUCACUGGGCGUAAAGGGCGCGUAGGCGGCGUUUUAAGUCGGGGGUGAAAGCCUGUGGCUCAACCACAGAAUGGCCUUCGAUACUGGGACGCUUGAGUAUGGUAGAGGUUGGUGGAACUGCGAGUGUAGAGGUGAAAUUCGUAGAUAUUCGCAAGAACACCGGUGGCGAAGGCGGCCAACUGGACCAUUACUGACGCUGAGGCGCGAAAGCGUGGGGAGCAAACAGG
rnacentral:rRNA from 1 species